AGGACGAACGCUGGCGGCGUGCUUAACACAUGUAAGUCGAGCGGAAAGGCCCUUCGGGGUACUCGAGCGGCGAACGGGUGAGUAACACGUGAGCAACCUGCCCUUAGCUUCGGGAUAGCUCCGGGAAACCGGAAUUAAUACCGGAUAUGACUAUGGCCGACAUCAGCCAUGGUGGAAAGUUUUUCGGCUAGGGAUGGACUCGCGGCCUAUCAGCUAGUUGGUGAGGUAACGGCUCACCAAGGCGACGACGGGUAGCCGGCCUGAGAGGGCGACCGGCCACACUGGGACUGAGACACGGCCCAGACUCCUACGGGAGGCAGCAGUGGGGAAUCUUGCUCAAUGGGCGAAAGCCUGAAGCAGCGACGCCGCGUGCGGGAUGAAGGCCCUCGGGUUGUAAACCGCUUUCAGCAGGGACGAAAUUGACGGUACCUGCAGAAGAAGGCCCGGCCAACUACGUGCCAGCAGCCGC
rnacentral:rRNA from 1 species